GAAGAAAAGAAAGAAAAGAAAAGAAGAAAGUGAAACAGAGCAGAGAAAGAAACACAAACAGAAAGAGAGAAGUUUCUUUGCUUUCCUUUUUUCUCACUUUUUCUCUUCUUUCUC
rnacentral:ribozyme from 1 species